ACGAUGUGUGGAGGAUGCUUGGAGGCACGUGAAGAGCAGUGUUGGCGCCAGCCCGGCGCAAUACGUGCUCGGCACAUUCGUGGACUUCAAAGGAGCAUUCGACAACGUCGAAUGGAGUGCUGCACUCAGCCGACUAGCCGACUUGGGAUGCCGGGAAAUGGGCUUGUGGCAGAGCUUUUUCUCCGGCCGAAGAGCAGUGAUCCGAAGCAGUUCCGGUACUGUGGAGGUACCGGUAACUAGAGGCUGCCCGCAGGGAUCAAUCAGCGGCCCAUUUAUCUGGGACAUACUGAUGGAUGUACUGCUUCAGCGUCUCCAGCCGUAUUGCCAGCUGAGUGCAUACGCGGAUGACUUGCUGCUUCUCGUCGAGGGAAAUUCCCGAGCUGUGCUAGAGGAAAAAGGAGCGCAACUAAUGUCCAUCGUAGAAACGUGGGGAGCGGAAGUUGGCGUUGCCGUCUCGACCAGCAAGACGGUAAUCAUGCUGCUGAAAGGUGCCUUGAGACGUGCGCCUACGGUGAGGUUUGCUGGAGCGAACCUUCCGUAUGUGCGUAGCUGUCGGUACCUUGGCAUCACGGUCAGUGAAGGAAUGAAAUUCCUCACGCACAUAGCUUCGCUUCGCCAGCGGAUGACAGGAGUCGUUGGAGCAUUGGCGCGUGUGCUUCGAGCCGACUGGGGCUUCAGUCCUCGAGCCAGGCGGACCAUAUAUGACGGACUCAUGGCACCUUGUGUGCUGUUUGGUGCCCCGGUAUGGUAUGACACCGCGGAACAAGUAGCUGCCCAGAGGCGACUAGCCUCCUGCCAGAGGCUAAUCCUGCUUGGAUGCCUUUCGGUAUGCCGAACAGUAUCCACAGUGGCACUGCAGGUACUUGGUGGAGCUCCCCCGCUUGAUCUGGCUGCUAAGUUAUUAGCGAUCAAAUACAAGCUAAAACGUGGAUUCCCGCUGGAGGAGAACGACUGGCUUUACGGCGAGGACAUUGCGUGUCUUAGCUGGGAGCAGAGGAAGACUCGCCUAGAGGAGUGUUUAAUCCAGAGUUGGCAGAACAGAUGGGACGAUGACAGCGAACCAGGACGGGUGACGCAUAGGUUUAUCCCAUACGUCACUCUUGCCUAUCGGGAUCCAAGUUUUGGAUUCUCGAUGAGGACGUCUUUCCUGCUUACAGGGCACGGGUCGUUCAAUGCAUUUUUGCACGGGAGAGCCCUCAGCGAUACCACUGCUUGCGCAUGUGGAGAUCCAUAUGAGGACUGGAUGCAUAUCUUGUGCGCUUGCCCCCUAUAUGCAGAUCUGCGGGACCUAGAUGGACUUGGAGUGCAGCGCCUUGGCGAAAACUGGAUCUUCGAGGGAAUCCUGGAUGAUCAAGAGAAGACUCAACGGCUGGCAAUGUUUGCGGAAGAAGUGUUCCUGAGGAGGAGGGGCGUUUAGCUCAACAUCUCUGCCGUGUGGUUAGCGGGCGAGAAUACUACCACAGUCCGCUGUUGCUUGUCGUAAGAGACGACUAAUACAGCGAUAGGAUUCCUCUAACCCUGCUUGUCGGAGCAAAAGGGGGAGGCCCACCGAGCCUCUUUUCGGUACCACGGGUUGAGCAGCUAUCCAAGACUGCUCAUUGAGGUAGGCCCCCUGGUGGGAGUAUCGUGGUGGCUGUGGUUGGUACCCAUAUCGCGGGUAGAGCCUUCAUGCUCGACGUUUGAGUUACGGUGCUAGUUGCGCAAAACUCGGGUGCUGUGACCCAGAGAUCAGUAGAGAUUUUAGGUAGAUCUCGCUCCUCAGCAAGGGGGAGUGCUUGCCCGGCAAGCAAGUACUCGAAUUGCUACCGGGGUGGUCGCUAUGUACAUAGCUAUAGCUUCUAGUCCGGGACGCUUGUCGGGCGUAUCCAGACACAUGCACCAUAUGCUCACUUGUGGGUGUAUAGGGUGCCGUGGUUGUAAUCCCUUCAGUGUGGAACACGCCACGUAAAAUAAGUUCGGAGGGAUCCGAAAAGCAUACAUUGUCCCUAUCUACUAUCUAGCGAAACCACAGCCAAGGGAAUGGGCUUGGAAUAAUUAGCGGGGAAAGAAGACCCUUUUGAGCUUGACUCUAAUCUGGCAGUGUAAGGAGACAUAAGAGGUGUAGAAUAAGUGGGAGAUAUUAGACCUCGGUUUGGUAUCGUCAAUGAAAUACCACUACUCUUAUUGUUUCCUUACUUACUUGAUUAAAUGGAACGUGUAUCAUUUCCUAGCCAUUAUACGGAUAUAUUUAUUAUAUCUUAUGGUAUUGGGUUUUGAUGCAAGCUUCUUGAUCAAAGUAUCACGAGUUUGUUAUAUAAUCGCAAACAAAUUCUUUAAUAAAACGAUGCAUUUAUGUAUUUUUGAUUUGAAAAUUUGGUAUAACUCCAAUUACUCAGGUAUGAUCCAAUUCAAGGACAUUGCCAGGUAGGGAGUUUGACUGGGGCGGUACAUCUCUCAAAUAAUAACGGAGGUGUCCCAAGGCCAGCUCAGUGCGGACAGAAACCACACAUAGAGCAAAAGGGCAAAUGCUGACUUGAUCUCGGUGUUCAGUACACACAGGGACAGCAAAAGCUCGGCCUAUCGAUCCUUUUGGUUUAAAGAGUUUUUAACAAGAGGUGUCAGAAAAGUUACCAUAGGGAUAACUGGCUUGUGGCGGCCAAGCGUUCAUAGCGACGUCGCUUUUUGAUCCUUCGAUGUCGGCUCUUCCUAUCAUUGUGAAGCAAAAUUCACCAAGCGUUGGAUUGUUCACCCAUGCAAGGGAACGUGAGCUGGGUUUAGACCGUCGUGAGACAGGUUAGUUUUACCCUACUAAUGACAAAACGUUGUUGCGACAGCAUUCCUGCGUAGUACGAGAGGAACCGCAGGUACGGACCAAUGGCACAAUACUUGUUCGAGCGAACAGUGGUAUGACGCUACGUCCGUUGGAUUAUGCCUGAACGCCUCUAAGGUCGUAUCCGUGCUGGACUGCAAUGAUAAAUAAGGGGCAAUUUGCAUUGU
rnacentral:rRNA from 1 species